rnacentral:lncRNA from 1 species
CAAACUCUGAAGUGUCUGCCUUGCUAGGUCGUAUUCCAUCUGCUGUCGGUUACCAACCAACCUUGGCUACUGAUCUUGGAGGUCUUCAGGAACGUAUUACCACCACCAAGAAAGGUUCUAUCACUUCUGUUCAAGCCAUAUAUGUGCCUGCUGAUGACUUGACAGAUCCAGCUCCUGCAACAACCUUUGCUCACUUGGAUGCCACAACUGUGUUGUCCCGACAGGUAUUGUGCACAUUUGUUUUUAGCUGUUGAUGAGAUGAUCCAUCUGGUUUUACAUUUUCAUUGGUUGGUGCUUUUAGACUAUGACACUUUCUUCCUUUUUUAUGGUUAUUGUCAGAUCUCUGAGCUUGGUAUUUAUCCUGCUGUGGAUCCUUUGGAUUCUACAUCUCGUAUGCUCUCUCCUCAUAUUUUGGGUGAGGAACACUACAACACUGCUCGUGGUGUCCAGAAGGUUCUCCAAAACUACAAGAACUUGCAAGAUAUUAUUGCUAUUUUGGGGAUGGACGAGCUUAGUGAAGAUGAUAAGUUAACUGUUGCUCGUGCUCGUAAGAUCCAAAGGUUCUUGAGCCAGCCUUUCCACGUGGCAGAAGUGUUCACUGGUGCCCCUGGCAAGUAUGUGGAGUUGAAGGAGAGUAUCACCAGCUUCCAGGUACAAUUAUAUCUCUUCCUAGCUUGCUUCUAUUGCAUCAUAUUAGUGUGUUUAUGGCAUCUUAAGAGCAAGUGAUUAAUUUCUUAUGAUAGGUGGAUCCGUGGAUUGAUAUUCUUUAUUAUUAAAAUUAGUAUAGCGUUGAAAAGUAUGCAUUUUUAGUGUCUGUGUUAAUUGGUAGAUGGUAAUCUUUACAUAUAAAUCUUUGAACUGUGUGCAGGGAGUGUUGGAUGGAAAGUAUGAUGACCUGCCAGAGCAGUCAUUUUACAUGGUUGGAGGUAUUGAGGAAGUGAUUGCCAAGGCAGAUAAGAUUGCCAAGGAGUCUGCAGCUUAAUUAAUUUCAAUGUUGAUGCCUUUGUUUACUCCCCGAUAAUGUUGAAAAUAAUUAGAGGCGGUGUUGGCGUUGCCAACAACAACAGGGCUGUUCAUUUUUUGGGAUAUUUUUCCUAUUCAAGUUUUAAUGAUGUUAUUCAAGAGUGAGAAAGAGGAAUAGAACUUGGG